rnacentral:sRNA from 1 species
UUUACUUCCUAUGAGAUCAUUCUUUUACACAGCUUCACUUCUUAAAUAGGCUUUUUCAUCACAUUCAGACAGAGAAAUAAAUAAAAGUUGUGGGCCCCCGCUAAAGUAGCAGCAAACCAAAGCUAUUUAGAACUUAGAAGGCUCAUGGCAUGAUUUUUUUGCUGUCAGUGGUCUACCUUUUCAAUUACUGUCAAAUGCAUGAUUUGGGUUCUCAAGAGUUAAGAAGGAAACUUCUUUAAGCUUAGGAUGGAAGCCAGAAAAAAUCAGGGUAUUCUCCACAAGUGCCCUUGCUUUGUUAUGUAUUUGCUCGUCAUGAGGGUGCUGCUAAUUGGUUCCAAUACUCACGUUGACAGCAACAUAAAUAUGUCCAGCGUUAGAGAUCUUUAUUAUUUGCUAGGGCAAAUCCCAUCAAGAAGUAUGCGGGACGUGCAGUUGAAGAAAAAUGAAGUCUUUAUACGAAUUGACGUCUUACAAGCAACAAAGAAAACUAUAAGGUGAAAGCAGCUGGCUGGUUCCAAUAUGAACGGCAGCAGACGUUUGAGCGGAAGAUCACGAGGCAAUGCAGUCAGACGUGGCAGAAAUUCAGAGGGUGGACAUGGUGAAAGUGCAGCUGGCUCCCCUCUAAUUUGUGGGGUCAUCUUCUAAUUUGGUUGCGGUUGGAUGAAGCAGGAGCGUCGACAGAGAGGGAUUUGGAUGCUGCUCCACGCGCUAGCGGAGCUCGUGG